UUUUCCCCUCCCUUAAGCCGUUUCUUCUUCCGACCCACCCCCGCUGAUGAAAUACAGGUCCAGUGCAUUGUCGUUUCUUCUUCCCUCCCGACCAUUUCCUCGAUUGCCAUUUUCUCUACCUUCCUUACAUAAAGCGUCACAAUAUUGGGGAUGAGAGGUGGCGACAGGGGUUCGAGGCAUGAGGUGGCGGAUGAUGGCAGGGUAAGGGAGCAAAGAAAGUAGAGAGAGAGAGAGUAGGUAGGUCGUGGUGUUUGACAAUGACACCAAAGUAAGAUACCUUAUAAUUUCCUUUUUUUUCUUUUUUUUUAAUGUACUCCAUCUCGAUCAGGUCUGUAGGAUCUAAUCCCAUUUUGCUCUUACUUAAUUUGUUGUGCUCCAUUGUUGGAACUCCCUUCUUUUGUACACCCUCUCCUACUUUUGCUACUACUAUCUCCAAUUUUUCAUUUACUUUAGAUUCAGUUUUUUCUUAUUCUUUUUAUGUUUUUGCUGCCAUACUGCUGCAGCAGCAAUUUUUGCUACUAUUGCUUCAUUUUCUUCCUGCUCUGCUGCUGUAGAAGCAGCAAUUCUACUUCUAUUACUUCUUUGAAUAAGUUAUUAUCUCCAAAUUACUGAUUAAUAAAAAAAAANUGCAUUAAUGCACAAAGAAACGUAUAGAAUACUAUGUAUAUUAGUUGUUAAAUAUAUAGAUUAUAAAUGUGUAUUAAAUUAUAAUAUCUAUCUAUUAACUUAUAUUAAACCCCAUAAUUAAUCCACGUGGCAAGCUUAGCAUAAUUUUAGCCUACAAACCUACACGUCAGCAUAAUCUUAAAUGAAAUUACAAGUCCGUGGGGCCUACCUGACAAUUCUUUUUCUCUUGAACCGGCUUUUUCCCAUUCUUGAACUGUUUCUCUUCUUCCUUGAACCGUCUUUUCCCCUCCCUUAAGCCGUUUCUUCUUCCCAUCCACCCCCGCUGAUGAAAUACAGGUCCAGUGCAUUGUCGUUUCUUCUUCCCUCCCCACCAUUUCCUCGAUUGCCGUUUUCUCUACGUUCCUUACAUAAAGCGUCACAAUAUUGGGGAUGAGAGGUGGCGACAGGGGUUCGAGGCAUGAGGUGGCGAAUGAUGGCAGGGGAAGGGAGCAAAGAAAGUAGAGAGAGAGAGAGAGAGAGAGAGAGAGAGUAGGUAGGUCGUGGUGUUUGACAAUGGCACCAGAGUAAGAUACCUUCUAAUCUCCUCUUUUUUUCUUUUUUUUUUAAUACACUCCAUCUUGAUCAGGUCUGUAGGAUCUAAUCCCAUUUUGCUCUUACUUAAUUUGUUGUGCUCCAUUGUUGGAACUCCCUUCUUUUGUACACCCUCUCCUACUUUUGCUACUACUAUCUCCAAUUUUUCAUUUACUUUAGAUUCAGUUUUUUCUUAUUCUUUUUAUGUUUUUGCUGCCAUACUGCUGCAGCAACAAUUUUUGCUACUAUUGCUUCUUUUCCUUCCUGCCACUGCUGCUGUAGAAGUAGCAAUUCUACUUCUAUUACUUCUUUGAAUAAGUUAUUAUCUCCAAAUUACUAAUUAAUAAAAAAAAUUUAUUCAUGUUUGCAUUAUACAGAUUCAUGAACUGGAGUAUCCAGU
rnacentral:lncRNA from 1 species